AUUGAACGCUGCCGGCAGGCCUAACACAUGCAAGUCGAACGACUGGCUGACGGGUGAGUAAUGCCUGGGAGACUGCCCGAUGGAGGGGGAUCACUACUGGAAACGGUAGCUAAUACUGCGUACCAGCGGCCGCGUCCAGAUGGGAGUAGCUAGUAGGGGGGGUAAAGGCUCACCUAGGCGACGAUCCCUAGCCGGGCUGAGAGGCUGACCAGACGCACUGGACCAGAGACACGGUCCAGACUCCUACGAGAGGGAGGAGGGGGGAAUAUUGCACGGUGAGGGCAUGGCGGAUGCAGACAUGCCGGGAGUAUGAGGAGGGCCUUCGGGUUGUAAGGUACUUGCGGCGGAGAAGCGUUAUCCGAGGAAGAAGCACGGACUAACUCCAUGCCAGCAGCCGCGGUAAUUC
rnacentral:rRNA from 1 species